AGAGAGAGAGAGAGAGAGAGAGAGCGCGAGCGAGCCGGAAAGAACUGAGAAUGGAGCUGGCGUUGCAGACCAGCGGAGGUCUGUCCUGAUCCCACCUGGAAAUGGUUUCUUUCUUUCUUUUUUUCUUUCUGUGAAAUCUUUAGCAGAACUAUUUGCUUCCUUGUUUUCUAUGUCGCAGGAAGCAAGUCGGAAAUUCAAUUAGUUGUUCUGGGUUACUGGAGGUUUUAUUAAUAAAAAAAUUGUCGACCAGAUUCUAAAA